UAGGGGCCAGAGAGAUGGCUCAGCAGGUAAAAGUGUUUGCCAAAACCUGAUGACCUGAGUUCAAGCUCUAGAACCCAUGUAAAACACCUCUUUGUGCUGAGUUAAAGAACGGAACCAUGUCUCACGUGUCCCUAUAUUCCGAAGUGCCUGCUAUAUACACCUUGUAGCCCUUAGAAAUUCAACAAGAAUAUUUCUGAAGGAGUAUCUCAUUUUUCUCAGUCUCAAUGCCUGAUCAACAUCUGCAUCUGGGGUCUGAUACAUCCAAAGGAUGGGUAAACAUCCGCGACCUAAAGAUGAGAACCCCGCAGCUGACGCUGUCCCCACCCACUGUUUAUGGCGCACCGGGCUUCACUUUAACGCGUUUGCUGCUUUGUCAUAAAAACGGGGGGAGGGGGGAUUUUUGACAAGUUGUCCUUCAAUGGGAAUUUAGUUUUUUUUUUACUUUUCCCCAGUUUUCUACUUUUUGUAAUUUAGUUUUUUGGCUUUUCCCCAGUUUCCUACUGAAGUGCUUUCUGAACAUUCUCAACCUCGUCUGGACUCCAGAGAGAUUUGCCCAAGCUUUGGGCCAAGGCAGCCAAGGGGGUUCCAGGGCCCCUGCAAAUUUAGCAGGAUGGGGCUAGCAGCUGUCUCAGCUAGAUUUGCAUGAAACAGCUGGUGGAGCCAGGGCAGAGAGAGGUGAACUCUCAAGAGAGGAAGAGAGAGGGAAAGUGAGAGAGAGAAGGAGAGAGGGAGGGAGGGAGAGAGAGCUGCAGUUGAUAAGGUCUUCCUGCCUGGACUCUUCUACGAAGAGGCUUCUGGUGCCCUUUCAUCGCAGGGGCUGCUGGAGUCUUUCCAUCGCAGGGGCUGCUGGGGCUCCAUCACAGGGGCUGCUGGAGUCUUUCCAUCACGGCGGGCGGCUGGGGCUCAUCUGCAAAAAAGAUGCUGGGCCCUUCCAUCGCAGGGGCUGCUGGGGCUCCAUAGCAGGGGCCGCUGGAGUCUUUCCAUUGCGGGGGUGGCUGGGGCCCUUCUCCACGGAGGCUGCUGGAGCCCUUCCACCGCAGGGGCUGCUGGUUCAUUCCAUCACAGAGGCUGCUGGACCCCCGCUCUCCCCCAUGGUUUUAUUCACAGAACAGCAAACAAGUUAAAGUGAAGCGCAGUGGGCUAUAUACAGUGGGUGGGGAUAGCAACACAUGUGAGGCUCCUAUUUUGAGGCCUGACAACAUCUACCUGCAAAGCUUAGCUGCAGCUGGGGUGUGGCUGGGCUGAAGCGUGGGAGGGGUGUGUGGAUUACACCCUCAGCCACUAGACCUUGACUAUUUGGGGCUUAGAGUCAAGAAGGGAACAUGACGUUCAGUUGAAAUAAAAGAGAAGUAGAGGAACCUGGGCCUCUUUUGUUAUUUCAGUAACCAGAGUCAGAUCUCUGGGAGUGGUUCUGGCCUGUGCCCACUUGGAGGACCCUCCCACACUUCUACCUUUCUUACAUGGGUGAGCAAUAAUUUUUACUUUACUUUUUUCACUUUAAAAGUGACACAAGAGGCUGGAGAGAUGACUCAGUGGUUAAGAGCACUGGAUGUUCUAGAGGACCUGGGUUCAAGUCCCAGCACCUGCAUGGCAGCUCAUACCUGAC